UUCUAUUUAGAUGAUCAGUCAACACAAGGGAAUGACUUGAGAUACUUCCAACAGGUUCAAAUGGGGUCUAUUCGUCAGUCAAAACGUUAAUCGUGAAGGAGCAAAAGUCUGUUCAUGAGCUGUCAUGCUCGCUAGGCGAGCAGAAUGGGUUGCCUAGCGAGUCCCAAGAAAAGCCACUAGAAUCACCUACGCUCAGAGGAAUUUCUUGAACUGUCAUGCUCGCUCAGGGGAAGCCCAC
rnacentral:lncRNA from 1 species